GAUGAACGCUGGCGGCGUGCCUAAUACAUGCAAGUCGAGCGAACAGAUGAGGAGCUUGCUCCUCUGACGUUAGCGGCGGACGGGUGAGCAACACGUGGAUAACCUACCUAUAAGACUGGGAUAACUUCGGGAAACCGGAGCUAAUACCGGAUAAUAUAUUGAACCGCAUGGUUCAAUAGUGAAAGACGGUUUUGCUGUCACUUAUAGAUGGAUCCGCGCCGCAUUAGCUAGUUGGUAAGGUAACGGCUUACCAAGGCAACGAUGCGUAGCCGACCUGAGAGGGUGAUCGGCCACACUGGAACUGAGACACGGUCCAGACCCCUACGGGAGGCAGCAGUAGGGAAUCUUCCGCAAUGGGCGAAAGCCUGACGGAGCAACGCCGCGUGAGUGAUGAAGGUCUUCGGAUCGUAAAACUCUGUUAUUAGGGAAGAACAAAUGUGUAAGUAACUAUGCACGUCUUGACGGUACCUAAUCAGAAAGCCACGGCUAACUACGUG
rnacentral:rRNA from 1 species